rnacentral:rRNA from 1 species
CAGCCGCCGCGGUAAUACAGAGGGUGCGAGCGUUAAUCGGAUUUACUGGGCGUAAAGCGCACGCAGGCGGUCUGUCAAGUCAGAUGUGAAAUCCCCGGGCUUAACCUGGGAACUGCAUUUGAAACUGGCAGGCUAGAGUCUUGUAGAGGGGGGUAGAAUUCCAGGUGUAGCGGUGAAAUGCGUAGAGAUCUGGAGGAAUACCGGUGGCGAAGGCGGCCCCCUGGACAAAGACUGACGCUCAGGUGCGAAAGCGUGGGGAGCAAACAGGAUUAGAUACCCCGGUAGUCCCUGUCUCUUAUAC